rnacentral:lncRNA from 1 species
AUUAUUCUUCUUCUUGCUGGUGAGAGGAACCAAAACCUCCGACUCACAAACACUGAUGGGGAGCAGUGAUAUGCAUUGCUCUUAGCCUAGGUCUACUGAGUGGUCUCACUCCUUUGGAGCUACCUUUGCCUGGGCUAUGUGGCAUCCACGUGCUUUUCUGCUUACACAAGGCCUCAUGGACUACAUGUUAGAGGUUUUUCAUCAUUUAUUAUUUGUUACUUACUGAUUUCUUAACUACUGACUGUAUCUGUAUUCUGUCUUGAUUCAUUUUCUGAAAAAGCAGGACUCAUCUUUACUUAAUGAGCUUUAUUCCAGUCCUAGAGAGAGGUAGGAAUUUAAUUUGACUGAGAUAUUCUGUUCCUCACUGCUGCCUUUACUUGAUUAACAUGGAGAAUCAUAAAAUUUCUGAGCAGAGAACCAAAAGUAGAUAACAAAUAGGCUAUGAAGCUUGCUGAGAUAUCUGUAGAGGGGAGAUUGAUAAAGAUGUUUAAUACAUCUUUCUAUAAAUAAAAGGACUUCUGGUUUGCCCUGGACUUGGAAUGAAUCUUCUCAGGGCUUCAAGACAGUCAUCACUCUGGCUACCUGCCAUAUGAAGGUUCUUUUCUCAGAGGGCAAAUGUUGCUAUAAGAAAUGCCACGUGCCAUUUUAUCAAGCUGAGCGCAACUGGCUUGUGACAACCCUGCAUGAGACACCCAACCAAAGAAAGAUAUUUUCUCUUUGAUCAGAUGAUUACUGAGAGUAGAUGUGCUAGCAUUAAAUUGGUUUUCAUGGUUGAUAUUUUUCAAGUAGGCUGGGCAUGAUGGCUCACACCUGUAGUCCCAGCUGCUCAGGAGGCUAAGGUGGGGGGAUUGCUUGGGUCUGGGAGGUUGAGGCUGCAGUGAGCCAUGAUUGCACCACUGCACUCCAGCCUGGGCAACAGAGCAAGACCCUGUCUCAAAAAUAAUAAAAUAAAAUGAUAAAAAUAUUACUAGUAGCUCCAAAUUUAGUAAUUUCUUUUUGGAAGCUAUUAUUAAUAUAUUUUGUUUAACAGAAUACAGGUCACCUACCAGCAUUUCUUAUGAAGUGAGCUUCUGUCAAGUUUUUUGUAUUUUUCUUUUCGACUCUUAAUAUAAAAUCAUCCAAAAGGUAUUCAUACCUGUGAGUAUUUGUUAGCAUGGUUUUAAAAUGUAGUAUGUCUUCUUUGUUCAAUUUAAACAACGUUGGAAGAAAACAAUGUUUUCCCAUGUUUUCUGUUCAUGUCUUUUCCCCUCUAGAGCUUGGCUCACACCAUUCCUUGCAUUUAGAAUAUCCUUUCUAUUAUGCCCAAAUCUAUUUCAUUCUUUAAGGCACAUUUAAAGGCUCUCAACCUUUCAUGCUCAACUGCUGCUUUCUCUCGUCUUUACUGAUUUGUUUACUGGAAGUCAUCUCCCCCAGUUCUGCAUACUUUCAUACAGAAAAUAGCAAAUUUCAGAUGUUUGUUCAUUUAGUUUUCAAAAGAAGGGUACCUUGGCAAGUCAGGCUUGCAUUCUCUUUUUUAAAAUAGCUUUUAUUAAGAUAUAAUUCACAUGCAGUAAAAGUUGCACAAAAGUGAACAAUUCAGUAGUUUUGAGUGUAUUCAUAGUUGUCCAACCAUCACCAUAAUCUAAUUUUAGAGCAUUUUCAUUACCCCACAGAGAAACCCUAUGAAGAGUACACAUUAGCAGUCACUCCCAUCCCCCCCACCCCUCAACUCUAGGCUACCAUGAAUCUACUUUCAGUAUCCAUAGAUUUGUCUAUUCUAGACAUUUCAUAUACAUAAAAUUACACAGUAUGUUGACUUUUCUUUGUUGACUGGCUUUCUUCAUUUAGCGUAAUGUUCUCACAAGGCAUCUGUUUUGUGGCAUGAAUAAAGACUUCAUUCUUUUUUAUCCACUGUAUGGAUAUACCAUCUUUUGCUUACUUAUUUAUCAGUUAAUGGACAUUUUGGUUGUCUCCACUUUUUGGCUUUUAUGAGUAAUGCUGUUGUGAAUACUCAUGCAUAUGUUUUCAAUUCUCUUAGGUAGACACUUAGGAGUGGAAUUGCUGAGUCAUACAGUAAUUCUAUGUUUAACAUUUUGAGGAGCUGCCAAACUGUUUCCAAAAUGGCUGCAACAUUCUAUAUUUCCAUCAGCAAGAAGGGCCCAUGUGGCAAGGAACUAAGGGCAGUCUCUGGCCAAAAGCCCACAAGUAACUGAAUUCUGCCAAUAACCAUGAGUUUGGAAGUGGAUCCUUCCCCAUUCGAGUCUCAGAUGAGUCCCCAGCCCUGGCCAACAUCUUCAUGUGCUGUGAGAGACCAUUAAGCAGAGGACCCAGCUAAGCUCUGCCCAGAUGCUCAAUCCACAGAAAAAGAUACUAAGUGUGUGUUGUUUUAAGCUGCUACAUUUGCAGUGGUUUGAUAUGCAGCAAUAGAUAACUGAUACUGCUGUUAAUUGCUUUCUAUUACAAUCAGCUGGAAUAACUGCCCUUGUGCCUACAAUCAGAGAUGUAUUUUGGGAUCAAUUCCCAGACCUGAGAUUGUUCAGUCUAAGGGUAAGGAUAUUUAAUGUGGAAAAAUAACACUAAAUUGUCCUCCAAAAAUAUUAUCAAGUGACAAUCAUGCAAACAGUAUGAAAGUUCCUACUUCUCUCCAUGUUCUUGCCAAAUGAAGUGUCAUUGAUCAUUGAAAAAAUAUCAGUUUGAGAAAAAUCAGUACUGCAUUGCUUUGAUUGCAUUUUCCUGAUCACUUAUCAGGGUGAGCAUCUUUUUAACGAAUCCCUUGGCCAUUUAUUUUCCUCUUUCUUUUGAGACUUCUCUCUUGAUAUUUUUAGCUUUUAUCCUAUUUUAAUUGGAUUUCAAUUGGAUUGAACAACUAGAAUGAUAGAAUGAUAUCUGGGGGGCACACAAUGGCCAUUGGUGAUGCUGCUGUUGAUUACCCAAAGUGCUAUCCCAUUUCUUCCUGUGUAUUUACUACUAUUUCUCUUGCAGUUAAUAAGCAAUUUAUGGGAAGAUUCUUUGAGACCAUUCAAAUAUCCUGCACCUCAUUAAAAUAUCCCCCUGGAUUUAGCAGCCUUUGAUGAUUCUUGCCUGAACAAAACUUUAUUAUGGUAGAUGUAAAAUGAAGAUUUUCAUUUCUAGCACUUCUUCCACAUUUACCAGCUACAUUCAGCCUUCUUGUGGAUAAGACUCUCCCCUUUCUCCCAAAUGUUUAUUGUUUUUAUUAGUAUGGACUCACGAUUUCCUGUUCUUCUCAAUGGCCUAUAAUUUAUUACUAUCUUUAAUUAUAUUAGUGCUCAAAUUUUCCCAGUUUGGCCAGUGGGAUCCCCUCCAAGUUGGCUAUUAUUUCCUUGUGACAUACCCACUUUUUCUUUCUUUCUCUUUCUUUUUCUUUCCUUUUAAAACUCACUUCUUUACUUCCUGCUCCAGCCCUGGAAUCAGCCAUUUCUCUGAAAAACUGUGGUUCUUUCAAGUGGACAAAGGUAUUAGAGACCAAAAUUUGGGCACAAGAUAUGCACUUUAACAAGGACCCACUUUAAGUGCAGUUUAGUGAAUUUGAAUGAAUGCAUGAACUUCUGUAACUACUACCACAAUCAAGAUAUAGAGUUUCUGUCACCUCUCAAAGCCUCCUUUUCUUGCUUGCUCAU